AGUGAACGCUGGCGGUAGGCCUAACACAUGCAAGUCGAACGGCAGCACAGUAAGAGCUUGCUCUUACGGGUGGCGAGUGGCGGACGGGUGAGGAAUACAUCGGAAUCUACUUUUUCGUGGGGGAUAACGUAGGGAAACUUACGCUAAUACCGCAUACGACCUACGGGUGAAAGCAGGGGAUCUUCGGACCUUUCGCGAUUGAAUGAGCCGAUGUCGGAUUAGCUAGUUGGCGGGGUAAAGGCCCACCAAGGCGACGAUCCGUAGCUGGUCUGAGAGGAUGAUCAGCCACACUGGAAUUGAGACACGGUCCAGACUCCUACGGGAGGCAGCAGUGGGGAAUAUUGGACAAUGGGCGCAAGCCUGAUCCAGCCAUACCGCGUGGGUGAAGAAGGCCUUCGGGUUGUGAAGCCCUUUUGUUGGGAAAGAAAAGCAGCAGGUUAAUACCCCGCUGUUCUGACGGUACCCAAAGAAUAAGCACCGGCUAACUUCGUG
rnacentral:rRNA from 1 species